rnacentral:rRNA from 1 species
GACGAACGCUGGCGGCGUGCUUAACACAUGCAAGUCGAGCGGUAAGGCCCUUUCGGGGGUACACGAGCGGCGAACGGGUGAGUAACACGUGGGUGACCUGCCCUCAGCUCUGGGAUAAGCCUGGGAAACCGGGUCUAAUACCGGAUAUGACUCCAUGACGCAUGUUGUGGGGUGGAAAGCCUUGUGCGGCUGAGGAGUGGGCCCGCGGCCUAUCAGCUUGUUGGUGGGGUGAUGGCCUACCAAGGCGACGACGGGUAGCCGGCCUGAGAGGGCGACCGGCCACACUGGGACUGAGACACGGCCCAGACUCCUACGGGAGGCAGCAGUGGGGAAUCUUGCGCAAUGGGCGAAAGCCUGACGCAGCGACGCCGCGUGAGGGAUGACGGCCU